rnacentral:rRNA from 1 species
GACGUAGGGCGCGAGCGUUGUCCGGAUUUAUUGGGCGUAAAGGGCUCGUAGGCGGUUUGUCGCGUCGGGAGUGAAAUCCACUGGCUUAACUGGUGGCUUGCUUUCGAUACGGGCAGACUGGAGGUAUGCAGGGGAGACUGGAAUUCCUGGUGUAGCGGUGAAAUGCGCAGAUAUCGGGAGGAACACCUAUGGCGAAGGCAGCUCGCUGGGACGUUACUGACGCUGAGACGCGAAAGCGUGGGGAGCGAACAGG